ensembl:lncRNA
CUCUAUAGAGGCACCUGCUGGCUGAGAGGAACACACGGAGCAAACAACAACAACAAAAAAAUAAUAAUAAGUCUUUGAUUUCGGCCGAUCUUAGACCCGUUCUGCACUUUGUUCACGUUUAAACAUGAAUAAAGUGUUCCCCUUGGAACGGGACAGGGGGAUGCGCCCAUCCCGUGGAAGGCCGGGAGUGUCUCUGAAGAAACAAAUAUCCGUCCAAAACAACUGGAGUUUCCCGUAUUCGGGCCGCGAUUGCCAAAAAACAUCCUCCAAGAGACAGGGAGGCCGCAUGCAUCCCCCAGAGGAGCAGAGGGGAUGUUGAGCUGCUGAAGGUGAGCAAUUUAUGAAUGAAUGCAGCUCUGCUGCAAACAAGCUGCAGUUUCCCCCCUCCCUCCGGAUGGAUGAAAUCCCCAAAGCUACUGCGCUUCGGAAAGUCCCACACAGAAACCCAGCAGAAAAGAUUAAAUCCAGCAGUGCAGAGGGAGAGCCUUACCCCCUUAAAGCUACAAUGUACUGUAAAUAAUGUACAGAACCCAGCUUCUAAAAUUACCACUACGGGAUUGCUCACGGCAUCUUAGGUUUCGUCUGGAUCCUGUGAUCUUCCCACCUGCCAACAUCCUGUUACCAGGAGAGCGGUGCGUGUGAAGGUUGUGCAAAUGGUCAUGCACUUGCACGAAUCCUGGCACGAGCGUGGGCACUCAUGUGCCUCCCGUGUUAGAGUUACACCGUAAUAAAUACGGGGACAGGAGAUGCUGACAUUGCCACAGGAUCCGCAGCGCUCACCAAAAAAAGCAAACGCGUGCCUGUGCCGCGCCGCAUCGGGAGCCGUGGGAUCCUCCUCACGUCAGCGGCUCCUGGGAUGGAAAGGAAGACGGAAUCGAGGGGCAGGAGUUUAAAUAUGGAACACUGAAAAGCAGGAGCUCCACGUUGAGGCACAUCAGAGAGGCUGAGUGGCGGCACGCUGGGAGCUGUGAGACGUGGAGAGCUUUGCAGGACCUGACCGUCACUGGGACUCCAUCUUGCAGACUGGAUUCAGGGGAAGCGUCGGCAUGGACUUCAAAGGGCACAGGAUCAAGCCCGCAUUGAGGGGCUCAAAAUACAAAUGUAGGAGCCUCAGUUUAGGCGUCCAUUUCUUAAUACCUCGUCCCACGCCAGUAAUACCCUCUGUCCCAUUCCUCUGACCUGAAAAGAGAGGAAUGCAGGUAACCUCACCAGCUCUCCUCACAGAACCUGUGGCCAAGAAGGGGGAAAUCCAAGAAACACAUUCCCCGCGCUUUGUUUGUUUUCCUCCCCUCUCUCAGGUCCCCAGAAUAACAGCCGGAGCGCUGCUCGUGGGGGAGCUCAGCCCCACUUUGAAAUUGGAACAGGAAAUGUGAGAAAUGUGGACGUUAAAAAGCAAAUGAAACAAAACAAUAUUUUCUUAGAACUCCAUCUCAUGGGCAAGUCUGGGGGGAAUCUGGAUUUGGAUAAUCUAAAUUAGGAGAGAAGUCAGGGAAACAAAGAGUAAUUUUAAACAGUGGAGUGCCAGGGCUAUUUCUUAACACGCUGCUCGCUCUGAUUUCAAAUACGGUCCCUCGGCGCUCAGCCCAGGAACAGUGUGAGGAAGUGGAAAGAAGGCCGGAAUGGAGCGGGCUGCUGGGAGAGGCAGCAAGCAAGCAGCUGAGGCUGUGAGAAAUGGAGGUAACAGGACAGGUCAUCAGCUAUCAGCAGCAUUGCUUGAACAUCUACAGAGACAUCAAGAUGCCGAAGGAGCUUUUUUCCUGCCUGGAGUGCACAUAAUGUCACCCUAAGGGACCUAAUGUCGCCCCAGCCUAUACAUCUACAUCUAACAGAGCUGGUAGGAAUACACACACACAACUGUUGCAUUAGUACUUCACCUUACACUUACAUCACAGUCCCAUAAGAAAUCUGAUGGGGCGGCCUUACCUAUUAAAUCAUUUCCUGGAGGGAAGGUUUCACUUGGGCUCAUUUGUUAUCAUUUGUCCCAGAGUUCAUAUUCUACACUCACAGCAUUGGGAGUGGGUGUUUUUCAUGGCUAUGGGUAGAAGAGCCAAAGGCUGAUUUCAGGAAAGCUGUGCUGUUGUUUUAGGUUGGUCAUUCGAUGUCUGUCCCAGGUGCUGGACACAUGUUGCAUGCUGAAGGAGGUAUGAUUUGAACUUGGACUCAGACCUCAACACUUUGGUAACCAGCAAACAAAAAUAAAACUGAACAAAAGCGGGCCUAUUGCUCUUCUCAAGUCAAGUGGCCCUUAAUAAUAUUGACUUGAACAACAUAUAUGCCAAUGCAACAACUGAAUGAGAAGCUGGACAGUCAGCAUGUGCGGUCCUCUACAAGGACGGGCAAAUGGGAUUUCAGUCCAUAGGAACCCACCAAACACCUAUUCUAUGUGCCAUGGGCCACCAAGUCCCUUCCAUCACCUUACACCGCUUUUCAGAGUUGCACCAAAGGCCAAACUCUACAAAUGCAAUGUGCUACAGGAGGACAGAAGAGCACGAGGCUCUCCCCACACCUCAGCAACAGCAGCUGUGGUUUGCAUCAAAGCCCCACACAACUGUCGGAAGUUGUUGGUGCUCCACAUCAAGGAGAAAGACAGCAAAAAAACAAGCAAUGGUCUCUGUGUGAUCAAGGAGUGACUCCCUCCUGCCCACAACUUGACAGAUGAAAUGAUGGGGACGCAGGGAUGGGAGCGUGGAUAUGCUUUGUGGCAAAUCCUGUUUUUGCUCACAAGCGCUCUCUUAGAAGGAAGAAGCUAGAAUGGAACCCAGAAGCCUCUUUCUCCUUCAAAGGUAGGAGAAACCCCUCUUGUCUCCCUCCAGGAAGCAUGGGAUUAUUGCUGCAGAGGCUUGGUGCCAGCAAGCACUCACCCAACUUCCACUCAGAUCUGCAGGACAAGAUACAAAUGUCUCUCUCAAAUGAAACAGGGAGAUCUGGGAGUUAUAUUCUUCCUUUAGGGUGAAAAACAGGGGAACAACUACUGGCCAGCUGUAGUUGUUCUGGCAGCAGAAGGGAGUGAAAUGUAUAGGCACCGAAACAACAACCUUGCCUCUUCCCCAGCAAUUAGGGUCUGAGGCAGGGAACCUCCCCAUCCCCAGACACCACUUCCCACAGAUGACUGAAGACCUCUUUGCACCAUUUCCUCCUCCCACCCCUUCCCACAAACCACUCGUGAUCAUCCCAGCCUCACCACCCCGAUCUCCUCAAGAAAUCCUGCCCACUCUGCUGUGCAGGUUAUAAAACCCAGCCGAAGGAAGUUGCAAUCAAUCACAUCUAUAACUGUAUGCCAGUUAAAUAUUUCCAUACUGAAACUAGAUUACUAUCUGACGUGCAAACCGCAAACCAUAGAUACAAUUGUAAAGCUUCUGUCUCAGAGCUAUAUGAGCACCUGGCUCACCACUCCAAAAACUUGCAGUUUUCUUUGAAUAACAGACUUCAACAAAUUAUUUUGGAUAAGUGGCAGUUUGAUAAGUCUUUUGAAUGGCAGUUUGCACAAGGCAGCAUUUUGGAUUUGUCGGAACCGUAAGCUGAGCACGCUGAAUGCAGUUCAGUGAGCAAUCUCAUGACAGCGUAUGGAGCUGCACAAAGCAGGGGAGUUUUCUUAAAUUCCUUCUGCGUCUGGACCUUCCAGAUGCCCACACACCUUGGUGGCUGGCUGCCCAGAGCCUCACCUUCGCGCCCAAAGGCGGCUGGGCAAUAGUCCAAACAGAAGACGAUCAAAACAAGGGCAAGCUGGAUGAUAGGAGGUUCCUGAGUUCCCCAGCUCUCCAUCUCCUCGGGGAGUGCUUCUCAGCGCUGGAACUGAAACGCAGCAUUUCUCCAGAACAGAAUUGAAGAGACAGCCUUCCUCAUCUUUGGCCAAGCUCCUCAGCCUCCUCCUUGUUCAGUAUGAUUUCCAAAAUUCCUUUUUCCUUUCAGCAUUUCGAAACCGAGUUCUUAGGGCAAAUCUUGGAGUCAGGAACUUUGGUCCAAACAGCUUCAACUUGAGACAACACUUCACUAGUGCCAGUUCUGGGAAAACCUCUUUGACACCAGCAGGACACAGCACAGCCAAGGCUGGAAUGCUUGAGAUGCCAGGAAUGCCCCCUUUCUUACAAAUAUGAUAUUCAUAAAUAAAGCCACUUCUGAAGAAGGUUGGCAGAAUCUGAAGUGGGCAAUAGGUUUCGUGAUGUCACCGAUUCACAGAAAGGUCAACAUUAAAAGAUUGAAAAGAAAAGCAGCAGGGGCAGCUACUCAUACAACUGUCAUCCAUCAACAAAAUUAAAGUUCAAACAUAUGAUCAGUUUCAUCACUUCCAGCUUAUUUUCUGCUUGCCUAAAAAGAAGUGUUUUUUCUGGAACUGAGCUAUAGGUCAAAGAGCUUAGCUUUUGACAUCCGACAGAAAAG